rnacentral:rRNA from 1 species
CCUACGGGAGGCAGCAGUGGGGAAUAUUGGACAAUGGGCGAAAGCCUGAUCCAGCCAUGCCGCGUGAGUGAUGAAGGCCUUAGGGUUGUAAAGCUCUUUCGCCGGGGAAGAUAAUGACGGUACCCGGAGAAGAAGCCCCGGCUAACUCCGUGCCAGCAGCCGCGGUAAUACGGAGGGGGCUAGCGUUGUUCGGAAUUACUGGGCGUAAAGCGCGCGCAGGCGGUNAGUUAAGUCAGAGGUGAAAGCCCGGGGCUCAACCUCGGAAGUGCCUUUGAUACUGGCUCGCUNGAGUNUGGAAGAGGAGAGUGGAAUUCCCAGUGUAGAGGUGAAAUUCGUAGAUAUUCGGAAGAACACCAGUGGCGAAGGCGGCUCUCUGGNCCAUUACUGACGCUNANGCGCGAAAGCGUGGGGAGCAAACAGGAUUAGAUACCCUGGUAG